UUUAUGGAGAGUUUGAUCCUGGCUCAGGACGAACGCUGGCUGCGUGCUUAACACAUGCAAGUCGAACGCUGAAGCCUGGUGCUUGCACCGGGUGGAUGAGUGGCGAACGGGUGAGUAACACGUGAGUAACCUGCCCCUGACUUCGGGAUAAGCCCGGGAAACUGGGUCUAAUACCGGAUACGACUGCCGGACGCAUGUCUGGUGGUGGAAAGUUUUUUCGGUUGGGGAUGGGCUCGCGGCCUAUCAGUUUGUUGGUGAGGUAAUGGCUCACCAAGACGACGACGGGUAGCCGGCCUGAGAGGGCGACCGGCCACACUGGGACUGAGACACGGCCCAGACUCCUACGGGAGGCAGCAGUGGGGAAUAUUGCACAAUGGGGGAAACCCUGAUGCAGCGACGCAGCGUGCGGGAUGACGGCCUUCGGGUUGUAAACCGCUUUCAGCAGGGAAGAAGCGCAAGUGACGGUACCUGCAGAAGAAGUACCGGCUAACUACGUGCCAGCAGCCGCGGUAAUACGUAGGGUACGAGCGUUGUCCGGAAUUAUUGGGCGUAAAGAGCUCGUAGGUGGUUGGUCACGUCUGCUGUGGAAACGCAACGCUUAACGUUGCGCGUGCAGUGGGUACGGGCUGACUAGAGUGCAGUAGGGGAGUCUGGAAUUCCUGGUGUAGCGGUGAAAUGCGCAGAUAUCAGGAGGAACACCGGUGGCGAAGGCGGGACUCUGGGCUGUAACUGACACUGAGGAGCGAAAGCAUGGGGAGCGAACAGGAUUAGAUACCCUGGUAGUCCAUGCCGUAAACGUUGGGCACUAGGUGUGGGGGGCAUUCCACGUUCUCCGCGCCGUAGCUAACGCAUUAAGUGCCCCGCCUGGGGAGUACGGUCGCAAGGCUAAAACUCAAAGGAAUUGACGGGGGCCCGCACAAGCGGCGGAGCAUGCGGAUUAAUUCGAUGCAACGCGAAGAACCUUACCAAGGCUUGACAUACACCGGACCGUCCUGGAAACAGGUCUUCUUCUUUGAAGCUGGUGUACAGGUGGUGCAUGGUUGUCGUCAGCUCGUGUCGUGAGAUGUUGGGUUAAGUCCCGCAACGAGCGCAACCCUCGUUCUAUGUUGCCAGCACGUGAUGGUGGGAACUCAUAGGAGACUGCCGGGGUCAACUCGGAGGAAGGUGGGGAUGACGUCAAAUCAUCAUGCCCUUUAUGUCUUGGGCUUCACGCAUGCUACAAUGGCUGGUACAGAGAGAGGCGAACCCGUGAGGGCAAGCGAAUCCCUUAAAGCCAGUCUCAGUUCGGAUCGUAGUCUGCAAUUCGACUACGUGAAGUCGGAGUCGCUAGUAAUCGCAGAUCAGCAACGCUGCGGUGAAUACGUUCCCGGGCCUUGUACACACCGCCCGUCAAGUCACGAAAGUCGGUAACACCCGAAGCCGGUGGCCUAACCCCUUGUGGGAGGGGGCCGUCUAAGGUGGGACUGGUGAUUGGGACUAAGUCGUAACAAGGUAGCCGUACCGGAAGGUGCGGCUGGAUCACCUCCUUU
rnacentral:rRNA from 1 species